UCAUACUCCCCCACAUCUCCAAGCUACAGUCCCACAUCGCCAAGCUACAGUCCCACAUCACCAAGUUAUAGUCCCACUUCUCCGAGCUACAGUCCCACAUCGCCAGUUUAUAGUCCGACCUCUCCAGCAUACAGCCCAACAUCUCCUGCAUACAGCCCGACAUCUCCAUCAUACAGCCCGACAUCGCCAUCAUACAGCCCUACUUCACCUUCAUACAGCCCUACCUCUCCAUCUUACAGCCCUACGUCUCCAUCAUACAGCCCUACGUCUCCUUCAUACAGCCCUACGUCUCCAUCAUACAGCCCGACAUCGCCCUCGUACAGCCCGACAUCGCCUGCAUACAGCCCGACAUCGCCUGGAUACAGCCCAACAUCGCCGAGCUACAGCCCUACUUCGCCAAACUACAGUCCAACUUCACCGAGCUACAAUCCUUCUUCGGCCAAGUACAGCCCUUCACAUGCUUAUUCUCCAAGCAGCCCAAGGAUGAUGAGCCCAUACAGUCAGACUUCUCCAAACUACAGGUACUGACCGUGACCUGGCACUCCUCUGGUAUUCUGUUCAUUGCUCGCUAUACUUAUUUUGCUUACAUCUGUUUCCCCAGCCCAACAUCACCGACUUACUCGCCCACCUCGCCGUCGUAUGCACAACCAAGUCCGUCAUACAGCCCGACAAGGUGAGCCUGUCUUAAUUCAUCAUCAUUCAGAAGGAACACCUCGCUGUCGAUGAUGUGACACAUUUAGAUCUUCUGUUCUAACACACUUGCAUGACUUGUGCAGCCCGCACACAACCUCUGGUGGACCUAGCCCGGAUUAUAGCCCAACCUCUCCAAACUACAGGUAAAUGGAUCAGGCUUUAUGUAAUCUGCCCACGAUGAAAGUGCAUUUGGCGUUUAUGACAAUCUCAAUUUCUACUGUUCAGCCCCAGCGCUAGCUAUUCCCCCACUGCACCGGGCUACUCCCCUUCGUCCACUGGACCGCAAACUACUGACAAGGACGACGACGAGAAUGCGCCUUGAAGUCCCUGACCUGAUGGAGCAUGCUGCGCUAAUGAGGAACUGCGCUGCACUACCUUUUUUGUUCUGUGUUUUUUAUGGUUAUGGAACUGCAGAGCCCUGCCUUGUCUGCCUGAGCAUCGGGAGUUAUUAUGUACUCAUUGUGUGCUAAAAUAGCAUGAUUAGUCCCAUAGGAACCGAACUUUGCCAGCUCGUGAGCUGCUCCUAGUCCUGUGACGCUACAACGCCGCUUAGCGGCGUCCAUAGCAGCUGUUUGAAAUAAACAAGUUGCUGAUCUCGGUCCUAUUGUUAUGCUAAAUGCUGUUGUUCAAAGCAAGUCUUUUCAUUGCAGCUAGGGUGCUCCUUUUUCUGUCGUUCAAUCAAUGCAAUGGUUUGGAAAGGACCUGUUUGAUUCGGAUAAAUAUUAGAAAAGAGUUCUCGCAAUCGCAAGGUCUCAAUUUUCGUUGCGGGUCAUAAUCUCGCCUCUUAGGUUGAUCCCGCUCGUUUUCGUAUCCUUUGAUGUUACUCCCUCCGUAUAAUAAUACGGGCACGAGCCAGUCUAUUUAUGUUCCUCAACCUUUGUUCUAGUCCUGUGUGUAUCAAAAUGGCCCAGCCCAGAGUUGUAGGCUAGUGCAAAUAAUCUCCGGAACGAAAUUACGCGUGAACGGUUGCGGGCGCCACAUCAAGGAGGCGAGUGUAUGGCCGACGAUGAGCCUCGUAACCGGCCUGUGGCGCAUGCCUGUAGGUCCUGUCCUCUGUUGCCAGCAACUUAUCCAUGGCCAAGUGCUUUCGUUCUACUCAUCCUAUUCCUACCUGGUUCCUUUCCCACGUCGUCGGCUUCUCCUUCUACACCCACAUACUCCUUCCUUAAACCCACUGCUCCGAAUUUUCGCUUCCUGAUCUGGUUAAUUCCAUACUUGUAGCUUGAAUAUUUCAACUUUUGCCUCGAAGGUUUUGAACAUAGUUUUCACAAUUUUAAAAUAGCAAAAUGUUACUGUAACUAUUACUUACUCCAUUUCUUUUUGUAACAUGUUCCGUCUUUGUUCUAAAAGUCAAACUUCUAAAAGUCGACCAAGUUUAUAGAAGAACUACCAACAUCCAUAAGUGUAAUCAGGAUUCAUGCAGUUGGAAAAACUAAUCAAAUUAGAUUUCUUGACGUGUUUAUCCAUUGUUUGCGCUAGAUUACCUUGACACGUUUAGUUUAGCCAUUGUUAUCGUGCUCCCCGUCAUGUCUUUGAAAGUUUUGCCAAACUUUGCAGAAAACUGGAAAAGACGGUAGACGGAUCGCAGCCACAGACUGAAAUAUUUGUAGGAGACUGAUAUUGUGUUCUCUUCUCAACAAAGUCAAACACUCCUCAGAUGCACACUAAAGUUGCAAUACUCCUGUUCACCAAGGGUGGCAGAGAAGGUGUAUAGCUACAAUAAACCAAAAGAGACUUUGGGAACAACAUGCAUUUGCGUAGUAUACGUGCAUAUGCUUCUCACAUGCCCGGGAAAGUGAGAUCCAGCUUUAGCACCACCACUAACCAGAAGAUUUCCAGGUAGUGUGUGUGCAUAUCACUUGACCAACCGCCAAUCAGCUGCUAGCCACAAGCUCUGUCCAACCUUAAGAACCUGCCCCCAGCUCUCACACGUGUCAGCAACCCACGGGACCGAACUCCACCCCGUGCGAACGUGGCAUGACAAGUCAGACAUGGCGCUGACUUGGCACCCACACCGGCCAGUGCGGUAUUGACAAGUCGGCACUGAAGAAGCAAUUGGGGGAUGAUGUGCAAUUAAUUAGUUUAUCAUCAUCUCAGAGAGAAGAGGAGAAAGAAAAAAAGGAAAAGAAAUGUUAAUCAUCAUUGUCAUUAUCAAGGAUUAGUGGAUCAGGGGGUCAUGUUGUCUGGGAUCUAUCUUUGGGAUGUUAGCUUGUGGUGCAGGGAACGAUGGAUGUAUAUGCUCUUGCUUGCCCCUGUUGUGAUAUGUCGGCCUUGAUCCGCGUCUCUGAUUGGCUGCUAAUUUUAGGAGCAACAUUUCUCCUCUCCUUCUCUCUGCUCCACUACUGACUACUUGAUCUUGUCAUUCAACUCACAGGCAUCUUUGGAGAAAAUGACAGCUUUUUUCGCAGUUGCAUAUGUUUUGUUUGAUCGAUUGGCAGGAUGUCUUGAGUUGAUAUGUUCACUUGUCAGGUGUGUUAAUGCCUAUUGCUUAGCGUAAUUGCAAUAAAUUGUUUCGUGGCAUGGUUAAAUAAAUUUCAUAUAAGACAUUUCACGUGUCUGGUUCCCUCUGCACCGCAUGAUUUUCACCGAAAUCCUGCGAAUUUUUUGUAAUUUUUGGAGGAUUUUUGUUAAAUUCUGUCCCAUAUCCAGUAUAUGGGAUUUUUGUAAUUUGUGCUAAGUUCUGUCCCGAUUCCAGGAAAGCUUGUUUUGAAUGAUUUACUAAAACUCUGGCCUGGUCUAGGCUCAACAAGCAAAAACAAGCAUACCACAUCUCACUACUCAAUAAUCGCAAAAUUAUGGAUGCGUGCAUCAAUACAGAGGCCACGGGAGAGGUCCUUCUUUUUAGAAAAAAGGAAUCACAGAAUAAGAAAACAUAUAUUUAGCUAGGUCUUCAAUUCUUGAAGUCCAAUCCUUGUAUUAAUUAAUUAUCUGAGUUUCAGCGCCCGGAGAAGACUUUAGCUGGUGAGGAAUUGCAAGCAAUUUUAGCAAGCAAAUCUGUUCUAUUCAAUCUAGCAGCAUGGGCAUUGUUGUUGUUGUAAUUAUAUUCUCUUUAUUUGUUGCAAAAAAGGCUAGCCAUUCAUCUUCAACCCACUGGGGAGCCCACAUAAUCUCAUAAGCACAUUACAUUAUUUUCAUGCUUUGACCCCAUCCCUAUCAGCAUGUCUGUAUUAUAAUUCCUUGAAGAAAAGAACCUAGUAGUAACAUGCAUUUGUAACACUUCACUAUCUUUGAAAGUAAUAAAACAUUUCUGGUUUGACUUAUCCCCAUCGCUUAGUCACUCCAUUAUUGGGAUCAUGUCAUGUGCAUCUGCACCUCAACAUCACCACUCUCAGACUACAAUUUUGAGAUUAAAAUCUAUACAGAAGCUGGAUUCAGAUUUGUAAACUGAAUUGACUAUGCAUUAUAAAAUUAAAUAAAUCGAGUUUCUUUUUCUUAAAAACGGUAAUAUGAAAUAUGCUUGAGAAUAAAUUCAAAGAUCACAAGUUUCUUUUUGGGCUCCACCAUGUAAUCUGGUACUCCCUCCGAUCCAUAAAAAUGGUCGCCCACUCAGUACUAAGUUAGUACCUUUUUAUGGAAUCGGAGGGAGUAUCACAUUGUAUAUUUACAUGAUCAAACAAAUUAAAGAAAUAGAAUUAAUUUAUUGUCAUGUGCAUUGUCCAGUAUUGUUGACCGACAUGAUCAUCUAGAAAGCUGAACCAUUGGUACACAAGCAAACAAAUGAAGAUGGGGAAAAAGGUAUAGACAAUACUGUAUUAGAUAACGGCAAUUACUGCUUGAUAAGAGAGUUCCCUCCAAGAUUGUCUGUAACACAGCAUAUCAUAAGAAUGACUGAAUAGACACCAUUGUUAAUAAAUGCCAUCAGUGAAAGGCUUCUUCAUCACCGAGCAUUUCCAAGAUGAUUCAUUGUCCUAUGUUAGCUCUUCUGUGAUAUAUCAUUUCAAGGUGAAAAGGAGUCAAAUUUGCAAUGGUUUGGUUCUGGAAUAUAUCCAAGUUCUGAGUGCAGCUAUGUGACCUGUCGUUUUGCAGUUUAGCUAUGAAAGACUUUUGAUUUGGCAAAAGUGUUUUGCUUUGGCAGCUACUGCAAGUAGCAAAUACAACAUGAAUAUCCAACGGAGAAUUCCAUUCCAAGUCUAUAACCAGUCGCGAGGCAAAUACAUGCCGUGUCGCUUUGAGAUUUGUGCAAUUUAGUUUUCAGAAGUGUACCGACACACCGUGGCAACCAGUUCUUCCGAGAAAGGCAAAAUAGCUAUCAGGAGCCCAUACUCCUGGUAUGAAAAGUAAAAUCAUAAAAGAAAUGAAAAUGUAAAAAAAAAAUCAUGCGUAUAAGUGCUCAUGUCUUCUAAGACCCUCCAAAUUUUCAGGAAACAAAGCAUUUUUGUGUCCUAAACAAGGAAAACAAAAUUUAGUAGUACUAAAACUAAGCAAAAUUUUGAUCACAAACUUUUGUCAUUUUUACACAGGGUGCAAAAUUUAUCCUUUUACACGGAAUUUCACAAGUCGACAUAAGACAUGCACAUUUUUACGAGUGAAUUCCUUUCAGAACUUUUGACAUUAAAAAGACAUACAUCUGGGAGCACGCACUCUGGGGGGCACCUGUGAAUUUCCAUGUUCUUAUCCUGUGGAAUUGCACAUUAGCCGACAGUGUUAAACCUUAAGAGACCUUCAGAUGUUUCAUGCUUCUGGUAGUGGUUAGAACAAAUUGUAUCAUGGAUAGAAUGCAGCCAUACAGUAGUCUUUUAUUGACACUGGCAAAAAAGGGUUGCAACCAAUCCUCGUAGGAACAACAGCAGACAAAGUUUGACAUUAUUGUGGGACUAGCCCAGACAUGAAAUCUGGGCAACAGAAAUGCUCCACUCUCCCCUCGCAAAAAAAGAAAGAAAUGCACCACUUUCUUUCCCUCUCUCUCUCUCCCUCUCUCUCUCUCAUCCAUUAUACAUCCAAAAUGUGAGAGACAACAGUGUCCUACCACUGAAGUCUCUUCUGCUGUUCCGCAACUGUCCCUUGAUAGAAAACUCUACUUGUUUUUGGUGAUCUGUAGCACACUAGGGUAGGAUCUGGUUGAUCACCUUGUACAACACAACAAUAUGCGAAUGGUACUUUAAAUAUGGUGGUUGCAACGCAGCUACACUAGGGUAGGAAGUGGUUUUAGUACGUCCAACCUCCCCAGUGCCCGACAUCGGUACCGUCCAUCUGCAUUGGGAUUCUAACGUUUUUUCUGCUUUUAGUUCUUUCUAAAAUGUUGUGAGAAAGCGUAAAGUAUUCUUUCUCUUACAUGCUUAUGACACCAUCUGUCCAAAUUCUGGAUUCUUGCCUCAUCGAGCAUGUUGUUUUGUUCGAGCCACAUGAAAAAUUAAAACCAAUGUUUUUCUUGUCUGGGCCAUGGGCCACUAGCCUAGGGCUUUGAAUCCCGUGGCACAUGGGUGGCCUAUUUAGGAAAUAUGGUGGGGUUGGAACCGAACAGGGCAUGAAAAAAAAAGACCAAAGCAGUAGUCCAUGCAUGGUGCGUGUGCGUGUCCGAUGACGCAGCCCGCAAUACUUUUAGGAAGAAAAACAACCGAUUCACGUGUCAACAAGGGAAUCCAAAUGCUGCGCAUGUGAGCUUGACCAGCACCCAGGCCCACAUCGACAAGGCUUGAGGACCACCCCAGUCAUCUUCUCCUUUUUGCAUGCAUCAAGAGAUAAUUUUGGUUUCAAAUCCCUUCAUUCUUGUAACCAAUGGACAAAAAUAUCCAACAUUUGCUAGCAGUUGCUCAAGAUUUUUUUUUGCUAGCGUUGCUUUCUAAAGAAAACAAAGUAACCAUGACCUUUUGUCCAGUCAAUUGAAUAUUCUUAUUACCCAAUGAACAACAACCUUCACAUGCUUUUGCACAAAGCAAGAUAAACGAUUUUCACUACAGGUUCAUGUUAUUACCCACCGGAUGUUUAGCUGCAUGCACUUCUCUUAUUCAGAGGGUAGAAGAAUCACUUGUCUCAUGAUUCGAAGUACAUGUACUGCCCAUUCAGAAUAUUCGGUCCAACGACUCGGUACUCCGGACGCAAGAAUGCUUCUUCACUAACCCAUUGGACAUUUGAGUUAAUGUACUUGUAUCAUCCAACGGCCAAAAGAAUAACUUCGGAAUAAUCGGUCGGUACCCCACAUUCAUCUAAUUGGUACUUCAAUCACCAAGGAGUCGGUACAGCAAGUUCCUAACUGAGCGAUGCUACCUGGCUGUCUCCUAACCGCGCACUGUGAGGCAGCCAUACUUUUGCCAGCAGCUUGGGGAAUGGGGAGCUCUCGUAGGCAGCAGCGGAGACGAAGCAGAAUGCAUCGGCAGGGCGUCCAAGCAAACAGCCUGGCACCGAAACAAGGCACCAAAAAUCAAAAAUCCCAUCACCAUGAGGAUGGAAACAACAAAGUGCUAAGAAAUCGAACCUGGAACCGGGAGCCGUUUCUGGGUCGGUCCUCCCAGAACCUACGUGUUCGUGGAUCUCAGGGCACCGGCGGAGAAAGUCCGGACCCAGUGACCAUCGGUCUGGUCCAAUGCCACCUUCGCCGCGGCUCGUCCCCCGCGGCGGCUUGUCCCCCCGAGCUGCUGGAGAGGAGGCGUCCUACGGUGGUGGGCAGCUUCGCCUGGUGGAGGUUGGGAAGGGCACCGUCGCCGCGGCUCGUCUGUGUGUGGGAGAGGUGGGUGGGGGUGUGGGAGGUGUGGCCGUCGGCCAGGACAAAUAAUGGAGGUCAUAGGCAUCCGGCUAUGACCAACGGUAACAUGCUAUGUAGCUACGGCACAAGCGACGUAGGCCUGGGGACGGAGCGGAGACGCAAAUUCGGAUGGAAAAUUAGGGGCGGGGAAAAUGCAGCUGCCACACACCGGGCAAUUCAUUUUAUUUUCACUGCAUGGCUUCGAUCCUUCUAUAUUUGAUAUACUACGUACAACGAUUGAUCAAUUAUCUCCAUACACUGUUCUACAUUGAUGAUUAUCUCUGAUUGGUUUCUGUUGUGAUAUGUACUUCAUACACUAUUUUAAAAUAAUGAUCCGUACUAUUUUUUUGAAACCUACGUACUCUUUUUCUUGAAUAUACUAUAUACUGCUUUUAUUCAAUAUACUCUAUUCUUUUUUCUCAUAUAUACUACCUUCUACCUUCUCAUAUAUACUCCAUUCUACCUUCUAAUGCAUAUGUACUACCUUCUCCAUUCUACCUUCUCCAUUCUACAUUCUCAUAUAUAUUCCAUUCUACCUUCUCAUGCAUAUGUACUAUAUACCUUCUACCUGCUCAUCCAAAUUUGAACAAAUUUGAAUCAAAAAUUUAGGAUCACGACCAUUCUCUUUCUCGAUGAAGAUAAUCCCCGCUGUACAUGCAUGCGUGUGGCCGGCCGGAGAUGUACAUGCAUACGUUGAAUAUACAUCGAUUGCUGGCGAAACAACAGUGUUCUGCCAUGCCAAGGAGUUUGUUGUACUAGUACAUGAUUAUCUAAUCCAUCCGGCCAAGAAGAAGUUUGUUAUACUAGUACAUGAUUAUCUAGACUAUUUAAUUAGAAAAUCAAUUAGUUACUGCCUAUUGGAUUCUACUAAAACGAAAAAAGAAAGUACCUACUGUAGUAGCAGAUUUGCUCGAUCAUCGUUGAUCCUAUAUACUACAUGCUCCUUACAAUAUUCUCCAUACUACAUACUCCAUUGUACAUACUCCAUUCUACAUACUCCAUGCUAUAUUCUCCAUACUAUAUACUCUAUCCUACGUACUUCAUACAUCUGUUGUCAAUAUUCAGUACAUACAAUAUACUCCAUCCUUGUGUUGAUACAACAUUCUGUAUACUCCGUACUAGAUACUCCCGGCCGGCCUGCAGACUCCAUGCAUGUUACGUCAUUGGAAAACUCCAUGGCUGAGCUACCAAAAAGGCAGUACAUCACAUACUGUACCAAAAGUACUACUUAGCCAUGGUUAGAAUAAGAGCUGCUAACCAUACGUCGAUAUGCAUACUCACAUCGCCGGCCAGAUUACCAAGUGCUCUGCCACCACCCGCCCACCCUUCUCACUCUGGCCCGAUAUAUAUAGCCAAGUACUGUACGCACCAAACCCAACGAUAUUGCUGGAUAGGUGGCGUUGGUUGCAGUUUCUAACCUCCCUAAAAACCAGGCACUCUAUCCAGCUAAUUUUUUGUCUCCAGGUUCUACGCAUCGACGCGCGCGGUUGGGUUAGCGGGUCUAUACAACAACCUUGUACCCGAUCUGGCCGGUGGUAUCCGAAGGUGGAAAAAGAAGUGGUAACUACACAUGGUAGUACCGAAAAGGCGUCCUAUUUGAAAGAAGAUCGUGACACUUAGCAAAAUAAAUCAAUUUAAUGCUCUAGGAAAUUGAUCGUCCUGGAUUUGGUAGUCGAUUCUCCAAGAAGUUUAUCAGGCUAUUUUAUACUCCUACAUUUACAGCCAGUUUGUUUUUCAGGAAAUUUACAGUAAGGGUUUCACAUCUGGUACCUUCUGAGAAGCAAAUCAGGUUUUAUCCAAUAAAACUAGGCAUAAAUAUUUAUUCUCAAGAAUAGCUUUGUUGAAAAAUAUGCAUAAAGUAGCUAUAGUUAUAAAUAUAAAUGCAAGUACUUGAGAAUAGCAGUAAUGGUGGCGCCUAAGUAUACUGUAUACCGUCGGAAGAAAAUGGAAAAAGUUCAUCAGAAAAGAUUACCCAAAAUGAACGAUGUCAUGAUCUCUUACAGUAUGAUAUCCAAUUCUCAUAUGCAUACUAGUUUGUGGAGGUGAGAUGUGACAAUUUUUCACAUUUUAUUAUGUUCUUUUGUUAAUCAUAUAAAGCUAUACAUCAUGUGGAUGUGAUGUAGACCCUAUGCUUGGACUUCCCAAAUACCAAGUAUACUUAUUAAUAGCCAUACUUAACAAUUUCAGGACCAAUAAUGCAGUAACAAAAUCAUAUACUCAGCCGGCAUCCUACCUGGAAGAUGUGCUAGAUAGGUUAUCAAAUUACAUGCUAGAACACCUCUGCAGUCACCAAACAAAAUGGUCUUCUUAGUUCAUAACAGGGACUUGCUGAUGGAUGACAUGCAACUUCAUUUUGUGUACACAAACAUCUUCUACAACCGCCAAUUACAUCUCUACUUGACACAUAAUUUAUGUUUUCAGACGUCUCUGCGUUUGAAAAAUGUGGCAAGCAAGUCCCCACAAGAGUCUUAAUGCCAGGCAUUAACUAAUCCUACUCAGUCUAGGGCCUGAAGUUCUUCCGAAGAAGCCUAAUUUUGCACACAUACUCAUCCUAUCCUACAAAUCAUCUUAGCAGUAGAGAUGAUGACUUGCUACUUGCUCCUACAGUGACACAAUUGACCAGCUGGGACUCCUUGAACCUUGCGCAGAAUUGCAGACUGCAAUGCUGUUUCUGUUGCACGAGAGAGACCUAUUAUGAUCCGAUAAGGCAAAUGAAGGUGCAGAAAGAUGAUCACAAGGGCAAUCAUAAGAAGAUCACUGAAAGAAACAGUGUCCAUCAUUCAAAACAGUGUCUGCAAAAAUACUGCACUUUUGCCAAGUGCUUGUGGCUUUCAUUUGAGGCAUGUGUCAACAGGAUCUGUUCAAUAAUGCAGCACCCAAUUAGCAUUGCCUCCGAUCUAGCAUUCCUAAUCAGUUAUUAUUCAAAUAAAAAAUAAUAUAUAUUUAACCUAUUGAAAUACAAACAUGACAACUCUUGCAACAUUGUGAGCCAGCCAGUACUGCCAUCAUCUCUCUCUAAAAACGAGAGUAACUUUCAGUUGACCUGUGACUGUAUAUGAACAGCAAAUGCAUGCUCUGGGUUCCAGAUGUCAUGUCAUGCAGAUGGACACUUGUAUGGUUCUCAAUUCUUAUCCAGGUAUGAAAAGGUUAUUACUACUAAGGUAGUGCCCUGCCCCUGCUGCUCCGAAAGCCUGUCCUGCUUCACAGAAGAAGAAAAGAAAGCUACAACUGUCACUAGUGGAUUAGUCCAAUAAUGCAAGCUAAGAAUUGCCUUGCAGCUAUGCCACAGAAAUGUGCGUUAGCAUCACCAUCAAGGAAGUCAAAAGAAAAUCUCAAUCAUGCAGCAGGGAGUUAACAUUACCCAGCAAGUAUUCCAUUCUAAAUGGGUUAAUUCAUAAAUCCUUCUUCGGCUGCAGAAACUGAAACGAUCCAAAAUGAUACGUAGGCACGCUAAUUCGAAUAGCUUAGUCAAAAGCACACGUAAAUUAUGUUGGAGAAUUCUUAAUAUAUGUGUGAAAGCUAGACAAUGCCAUCGAGCCCAUGCCAUGCAGAGUGCUAGCACUACUGAAAUUGUUAAUCGCAGAAUCUUGUCAGUAUGUCUGUCCUUGCAGCAUUUUGCUCACCAUCACAGAAAAAUUAGGAUUAUAUGUGAACAAGCAAUUGUUCUAUGUGUUUCGGUGAGAUUUCAGGGCCCACCGUUUGAUCAGCUAUGUGAGCUUAUUAGUUGACAGUCUUCAUUGUUUGUUGUGGGGGCAAGAGAGCCCAAUAAUGAGACUAUGAGAGGCUUUAACUCUAUACGCAUUGUUUCGGAUCUCAUAGAGAACAAGAUGGCAAUGAUCCAAACUAGGAGUUACGCUUGGACUUGAGGGCUUGACCUAAAAGCUGAUGUAACGUCCGUUUAGAAAUUUGUGAUAGCAUAUGUUCGGUCCGAACUUUCAUAAACCUACUUUGAUGUAGUAGAAAAUAUUGGGAUAACAAAGGAUGGUUAAUUCUUUUGGAACAUAUAUUUACCUGUUUUAUGAAACAUUUUUUCAAAAUGAGAGAUGCACACUCGUACCAACAUACCAGUAACACACACAAUUAAUUAAUUCUGACUUGCGUUAAUAAUGUCCUACUUUUUCCCUGCAAAAAAAUAAUAAUGUCCUACUUUGUUUCAUGACACCUAUGAGUGUUCCCCUUGCAGUUAUCUUUGUGUUCCAAAAGAAAAUUCUCUUAAGAGAAUAUUUGCUUUCUGAAGCCUGAUGCUCUUCUAGUAAUAGUUCAUUGCUAAUUAAUUAAUUAAUUACACCUAAGACUAUAUUCGAUCUAGGUUCAUGAUCACUAGCACCAUGAAAAUGUAUGUCCUCUGCACAUUUUUCUACUUUCUCCGGAAAAAGACAGAAAACUUCCUAAAUCCACAUAAACAGCGCACCAUCUUGCUUUUGAUUGUUAUUACAUCGAUAUUUGUCCGUUGUAGCACUACUCAUAUUAUGAUAUAUUUGCACAAUUAGUUUAAUUAGCCAAACCAAGUAGGCUCUAGUGGCUAACAACGAAGAUUUGAUUAUAUUAUCCACAAAUCUAGGGGGCUAAGAAAAGAAGAGAACAGCAAAAUAACUUUUUGGUGCACGUGCUACUGCGGUGAAACGUAAAUCCAAAUAUUGACAGUUCUGUGUGGUCGUUCGCUUCUGCCAUUUCUUUCCUUGCGUACAUUCUCCAGGUUUGGUGUUGGUAUAUUGUGUUGUUGCAGAGUCUUGGUGUACUUGAUAUUAAUAAAUUACCCAUUAUCGAAAGUAAAAAAUAUACAGGCAAGCAUGUGAGUGGCACCAAAAUAAGUUAAGUAAAAUGCACCGAGGUCCCUAUUCUUUCGCAAAGAUGUCAAGUAGGUUCCUAAUAUUUGAAAAUGCACAUUUAGCUCCUCAUUGUUUGUUAAGUGGUUCAUCACAGAUCCCUCACCUGUAUGCACAGCUCUGACCGUAUGAUGUGGCUGCCACCUAGGCUUUGGGCGCACACGUCAGGCGACGACGUGGCGCUGCCACCUAGAAUUAGUGACAUCUGCAUGUAUUCAAAAUUGGAAUAUUUUUACCACUCUUGCAGAACUCAUCCUUCUCUUGGUAGCCACAUUUUUCUUCUUAGGAAGAUCUACCACGCGGGGGGUUUUCUGUAAGAUUGUAACGCCACGUCAUCGCCUGACAUGUGGGCCCAAAGCCUAGGUGGCAGCCACGUCAUGCGGCCGGAGCUGUGCAUACAGGCGAGGGACCUAGGAUGAACCACUUAACAAACAAAGUGGACCUAAACGUGCAUUUUCAAAGAUUAGGGACCUAAUUGACACCUUUGAGAAAGAAUAGAGACCUCGGUUGCAUUUUACUCAAAUAAGUUUCUGUGAAAAUUUACAAUUAUAUAACAGAAUCGAGCAUUUACAUGUGUAACAAAAUAUUUAAUAUUUUUAAAAUAUAGUUCUUCACCUAGAAGUAGAUGCUUCUGGGUAUACCAUUCUCCCGCAAGAAAAUCGCUUCUCUAUAUAUGAACAACUUCUGGAAAAAAAAUCAGGGGUUCAAAAUCCUUAUAGUGGGCUACCUAUCUUUAUAUAUUUUGGAAAAGUUGCUAAAGAUUGGUCUACUUGAUUCAGGUAUGUUUAUGCAAUGGUUAACUUAUAGUGCUAGGAUGCAUGAUUCUUUGGGGUGAUAAGGAAUGGGCUUAAAGGCUAAAGCCAACAAAUUCCCUCUGAACGAAGGCCAUACACCUAGAUGUUCCUAUGUUUAUAUUAGGCAUGCACAGUACACUCAAAUCAAUUAUUUUUUGAUUCAUACACACUUAAGGAGGCUCCCAUUGCUCCUUGGGGCAUCCAAAAAGAUUGUUAAGCUUAACAAUCCUGGAAAGAAACGGACAAGAUAGACAUUGACAGUAUUUUUUAAGAAAAUAUCAUUUACUAGAUUUUGGCGUAAUGUAUAUUAAAAUUAGUCGCUUUGCUUUCCGUUUUCUCCUUGGGGGAAUAAAGAACAAUGGUGGGAGACUUCAAAUUAAGUUUGCUUGUGUGGUUCCUUAAAUUUUUCUAAUUUCUUAUUCUGGGACAAGUGAUCCUACCACAGCUUUUUUUUUUAUCAAGUUGGGGGGCAAGAACAAAAUGAGUAUAAUUUGAUCCUAAUUUGAUCGGAAUGACUUUCAGUCGUCCAAAUAUUGGAGCAGUUUAUUUCUUCAUGAAAAAUAGGAAUGCGAUUGGUGUUGCAUUUGGAGCAACAAUUUUAGCCCGGCUCCAUAUCACCAAACACAACCACUGACCAAAGAAGAGAACGCAAGCUCCAUCACCAAAGAAGGAAACACCAUGGUUCAAUAUGCCUUGAAAAAAGAUGAUUCUGAUAUGCCUUGAAGGGAAAAGAAAGUGAUUGCAAUAUGCAUUAACAAGGACCAUGCUGGCCAUAGUGCGAUCUACAGAUAAGAGCACGAACAACGGCAACACCUUAAGCUGAAUAAAUAAGUAAGCCCUUUAGAUCUUUCCCUUUACAAGCAACUAAUUGUUUUUCCUGCAAGAAAGAACAAAGGAUUAGUUGUUAUUACAUUCUCCCUCUAUUCCUCAAAAUCAUACUCCCUCUGUGUAUACAUAGUGUAUUUGAUUGGUCAAGGCAAGAUACUUUUACCAACAAUUGCUCCAUUAGUAUAUAACUUAUGUUGGCAUAAAAUUGAUGCCACUAGAUCCGUAAUUUCAAAAUUAUUUACUCCCAUGUAUCCAUAAUAAGUGUCGCUGAUUUAGGAGGGAGUAUUUAUGAAUGUGAUUUGUACAAAACUGCAUUUUAAUGAAGUAAAUGUUGGUCCGAAUCAUGUCUUGCAGUGUCUAAAAAGAAUAUUUUUUUGCUACAUUUAGUACAUUUCUUAUUUUAAAACGAUGAAAAAUGUUUUCUUUUACGCCCAAUAACACGUACGUGCAUGCAACUUCCUCCGUGGACAUGUGUUGUACUCCCUCCGUCCAACAAAAAAUGUCUCAAGUUUGUUAAAAUUUGAAUGUAUCUAGACAUGUCUUAGUGAAUAGGUGCAUUCAAAUUCAGUCAAAAUUAAGACAUCCUUUAUUGAACGGAGAGAAGUACAUACAUUCCACAUCAUGCAAGUAUGUAUCACCAGGCCACCUGCACCAAACAUUAUUCCAUCUAUCUUCUAGCUAGGUCAACCGCCAAGUUGACUUGAGCUAUAGCUCCAGCAGCAUAUAUCCAGACAAAAAGUGUACUUGAUGUCGCUUUCAAUUGUGCCGUAAAACUCCAUCGACCGGUCUCGCCAUUUUCCCAUUGCACGCAUGUACAUAUCAGGCAAUAAUGUAACUUUGGUCUUCUCAUUUUCUUUAUCUCCUUUCUCUCUUUUUCUUCUAUUUUUCUUUCUUUGGUAUAAGGUCGUCCCGCGUACGUCUAGUUAAUGUCACACGUGCCGUGCGUGUUAGCAAAUCAUCGCCCAAAGUCCGGCAUGCAAUCUCUUCCUUUUUUUUUCUUCCAGGUAAAAAGAUGGCCAUCGUACUAAAUUUCUCUGUCUUUAAAGGAAAGGCAAAUGUACCUAUAAAUGUAAUUAAGGGCAAUGAAUGAAGUUAUGGUUCACGGGUUUGUGCAUGCAAAAACUUCCCAUACGGUUUUGCUAUUUCUAAAGUGGCCCAGGAAUAACUAUUUGUAAGUGCACGAUAUUAUCGUGAGUUAUAGUUUGCACUGCUGAAAACUAUUACUGUUGGAUAUUUUAUCUUUUUCUGUGCAUGAUAGUAUACGUUUGCAUGAUAUAUACGUUUAGCAGGAAAUGCAUGGUAUAAUACGAUGCACACUUACCUAAACCGUUUUUUUUACGGGUACCUAAACCGUUAACUCCAUACAAAUUAGUCCAACCUUCUACCUUUAGAACUAUAUAAAGGUUUAUUCUGAUCAAAUAUACAUCGUGUUAGACAAAAUAACCCCAUCCAAAAUACUUCUGUAUGGAUGAUUCAACAUGUACACACAUUGGAUGGUUGUGCUAAUGUGAUAGAUUCAGUGGCCAGCUCGGUAUCAUGAGAGUUAAAUCCUCAAUAAAGAUGUUGAUAUUAAGAAGCAUAGAGAUUUUGCACAAAGAAAAAUAAAAUAAAGAAUAAACAUCUGCUAAUCUCCUUUAGUGGGUAUAUCAAAUCAAUUAAGCAUGGACCCCAUUAGAGUGAGAAAAAGGAAUGGUUCCACAUUGUUGCUUGGAGAGAAGCAACACUUUGUUUGUGUGCGUCGACAGUGUCCGGAUCAAAACCCUUAUAGCUAGGGUUCUGGUGUCACCAUCAUGGCGUGGUCCUAACCUCAAACAAAAAAUGUUCCUUCAACUCCAUGGCCAUGGCAACGAGUUGUCUCACUUCCAAAUCCAAUGGGAUUAGCUCGAAUAUAAUUCCAACGACGAUGGAAGAAAAUGACGCUGCACAAAUGCGUAAAAUUGGUGUGAUUACGGUGCAUCUCAGGACCAAAGUAUCUUUCUCCCAUGUUGAUUGCAUGUGUUCUUGUUCUCUUAGUUGAUAGCAGCGAAGGAAUGGGCUUGGAAACCUUUGAAGUUUGGAGGUGGUGACUGGGGGAGAAAUCCGCAUGUACGUACCACCUUUUCAUGACCAAUAUUCCUCCUUUUAAAGAAUAUUUUUGGAGGCUCUUCGAGCAAUGAAUUGACUCUUCGAUUUUUUUAGGCGACUAUUCGAACAUAGACACCAUGCCAGCUCUUGGAUCUCUUCAUCAACGGGGGUAGAAUCUAAACGGCCCUACCUUUCAUGGCCAAUAUUUCACUACCCAGAGGAAAAAAAUUCAGGGACUAUGAGAGGAAUUAUAGUUUCAAUCCUAGCUUAGAAAUUGUUUUUCUGAUAUUUUCUAACUGGUCGCAGUGGGUUGGAAGUGAACUUAAUUUGCUGAGUCAGGUUUUCGUGCUCAUCUUCUUGCCCUGACUCAAACCAAGAAAUGGUGAAAAUUGAAAAAGUAUUGUUUGGGGAAGGGGCCUGGAGUGGGGAGGAGCAGGAACCUACAUGGCUCCUUCAUAUGAAAUUUCAAUUUAAAGAAAACAUUUUAUGCACGGAGACAAUUUGAGGACUUGAUAGUUUUGCGUCCAUAUAUAGCUUUUUGGUCAAUGGGUUUUGCCUUCUUUCUUUGGCACAAAUUUCAUUCUUGCGGUUCUUUCUUGUCGGUUCGUGAUCGGUCCCAAGGAAGGGACCAAGAGUGCAAGCCAUGGUUACCCCCCCCCCCCUCCUCCCCAUGGCAUCCCACUAAUCUCGCUUAAAUAUUAUGUGAAAUUAAACAUCGAUUUAUAUUCCUGGAUCAUCGAUACCAAUAUAAAUAUGCUUUUUGUAUGACUUGUCGCCUCCGCCACUCAAAACAAUUUUUCUAGCUCUACUUGUGUUCAGGAUUAGGGCCUCUUUGAUUUAAGGGGUCUCUAAAACGAAUAAACGAUUCGAAUGUUGUGUACUCUUAACUUCUACAACAGGUUAGAAAACUACAAGAAUUAACACAACAAAGUGUUUGACGCACCGUCAACAGGCGUCCGCGGCGAGGUAACUCUCUACGAGGCACCACUUCCAUCGGUCGAGGACCAUCAUACAAGCACUUUCCGGUAAGACAGCAAAGUAAAAGCCGUCCAUGCAACGUUGAUAGGACACAAGUGCCGGUACUCGGCCGCACAACGGCGGGGGGGGGGGGGGGGGGGGGUUCUGCCGGCAAACAUUGGUCCAAGACAACCCAUGCGCUAACGUAGCCAUGAUGGUCAAGCCAUACAAGCACAUCCCACCGUGCAGAGCACGACGGGUGUAUUAAGCGGACGGUACCGAAGGUCCACAACGUGUGGGAGUGAUGAUGGCAACACAAACGAAGGGAGGCAACAUAUUUCUGAGGCAAUAUGAGUGCGGCGGGACAGAGGGGGCCGUUUUUCUGCCACGGUAGGACCACAGCAGCACCUGAGGCAACCCUUACUUUACUCGGGGGUCGUAACCCUCGUGGUUUCUUUCAAAUAAGCAUCCAAACGAUGUCACGGGUACGAAAAAUGACCGUACUUGUGCUGCGGCAGCCGACCCGUCACACUCCCCCUACUAUACCCGAGGGGACAAACUCCCCCACAGGUUCCCUACCACAACACCUAGAUUGGGGCUGGACACCUCAGCACCCACAAAUAAAUCAUUAGAGAAAACAGUCUCAACGAUACAAAUCUGCCUGAAAAUCAAACGAUCUGGACGACAUAAUUAUUUUCUAAAGAUACAACUUCUCCAAAAAAAUGCCUAACAAAAAUUCUUUCAAAUCAAAUGAAAGAAGCCCUUAAAACCACGAAAAAAAAAGUAGUAUAAGAAAAAAAAACGCACGAGUAGCACGUGCUCUUUUUAAUUUACCAAACCAGGCAAAAAAGGCCUAAUAAAGAUGACACGAGGAGUGCGCUGCUUCCCAGCAGGCCAGGGCCGGGCGACAUGAUCCAUUGACAAGGUGACAACCAAGCAAAGCAAAGCUCCAUGCAUCCCCAGCGGGGCCUCGAAUCCGAAUCCCCCCCUGCAGAGCUGGCCGCCAGGUAGAAGACAACGCAUCGUGCUCCGGCCACUCCGCCAUUGACAAGCCAGCACCAAGCACCGGCUGACGUGGCCGCCUUUCGCCUAGCUGUAAAGCCACGCUGGCCCACCAUUGCGGCCGGUGCAGGUGGUCGUCUUCAUGGAUAUAUACGCAUCGCAUCGCCGUAAAAAACUCCCUUUCGUGUGGUUCUCUGCUCCCUUUAAUUUCGUCCUUCUGAGCUAGCCAAGCAUGUGAUACGUAUGCAGCAUGCAGGCAGGCAAUUAAAUAAAGUCUUUUUGGGCGAGCACCUGAUGAUCGAUGGGCCUGCGAGCGCAUAUAUGCUUAAUUACCUUGGAUCGCUCUCGAUCUCAGUCUACCUCACUCCUCCACUGCGCUAGCUAAAUUGACCGGUGCAGUGUUUCGAUAGGUUGGACGCCUUCCCGAUCGAUACGAGCAUAUGUGCAUAUGCCAAAGGUAAAAGGAGAAAACGAGUACGUGAGCAACGAGAGCUAUGUGUAAGACAAGCGAAUGUGCUUACAGAAGAGCUAGGUACUCCCCCUAUAUUCACUAUAUUCAAAAAUAUAAACAACUACUCUGUUCUUAAUUCUCCCCCUCCGAUCCAUAAAAAGUGUCGCCCGGGGAGUAUGAGAUAUGUACUUUGUUCUAUGUCAAACUUUUAUAAAGUCUGACAAAAUUCAUAGAAAUAUAUACUACUCCCUCUGAUCCUAAAUUCUUGACUCAAAUUUUCUUAAAUAUGGAUGUAUCUAUUCUUAAAAAGCUUCUAAAUACAUGUAAUAUUUCGACAACAAUUUAGAAUCGGAGGGAGUACCACAUCUACAAAAGCUAGAGCAUUAUAUUAGGAACAAAGUGAGUAGUUAAGAUUUAUGGUACUCAUCACCGGCACUAUAAUUACACGCUCCAGGAAAAAAAAUGGCAUGCAUGCGUACAUUCUGUUCACUUCUUUUCCCUAUAUAAAGUCGUAUUCACCAGUAGUACACCAAUUUCUAGAGGGAACAAAGGAAUUGCCUGUCAUUAUUUGAUAAUUACACGCGUAUUGAUGUUCUUGGAGUAGUACUGUUAUUCGGCCUUAUCCCGUAAUUAAUCAGUAUAUAUUGGUUGCAUAUAUCUUUUCUACAGAAAUCUUCAGCAUUCUUCUAAGACAAAUAAGAUCGCAAAAUCCUCUCCAUUAAUUUUGACCUAAACAUAGUUUCGGCUACUGUAGAGUUAUUUGGCUACGGAUAAUGUUCGUAUCGACUGCCAAUGAAAUUAACCUCAUAUUUUACCGCCAACAAAAAUAUAAAAAAAGAGCGUAAAAAUAAUAAUUCUGCGGCUAAGAAUCGUCGGUAGCUUCUCGACCGUCUGAUCCAGAAUCUGUGACCCGAUCGAUCAGUCGCUCUCGCACGUGAGAUCACUCACCUUUUUUUCUUUCCAAAUUGAGGCACGGGCUACUAGCUACAGCCAGCCCUACUCCCUGGGCAACUGGGCUUAUUCUUCCAGAAGCUUUCAAAUAACUCGGCAUACAAAAUCUCUGCCCUCUCCCGUUGCUCGUACGUGCUGCUAAGACGUAGUUUUAGUUGUUCUCUGCCCAUAAGAUAUCUUACCCGCGAUACAAGAUAUUGGCUGGCCGUGGUAGCUAGGUAGCUACAGUCAAGGUGCAAAAAGAGAAGCCUCUCAGCUAAGUAUGCUCGAAUAUUUUUCGUCUAGCUAGGCUGGGGCGAGCUGAAAAUGCUGCGCCCGCAGGCGAAGGACGCUAGCUGCUCUUCAUCACACUAUAAAACAUGCAACCAAGGAGCAUCAUCAGAUAUUUUGGGUCUACGUACCAGACAAGGGACCAGACAUACCCACAGUGCCCAUAUCAGCGUUUUGUACCUAUGUAACAUAUAGUCGUCGAGGAAAUAUGAUGAAACCGUUUCUUACGCUAGAUAGUGUGCACAAAUCAAUAGAAAAGUUAUCAAACCUCGAUCUCUCUCUCGAAUGUAUUAAAUCACACAACUAAUUUAGAUACAACAGCAGACAAUGCAUUGGUCUGGUUGUACCUGAUAUCUAUCGUGCACCAAUUAAGAAACAAUAUAAGAGAUAAAUGCACUAGGAGAGGCCUCGGUAAGAACACAAUCAUGUUUUUUUACCACUAAUCCGUUGUGCAAAGUCACACACAAAUAACAUGAUAUGUCCGUUGCACAGAGUGUUUUCCUUUUUUUUCCACAAUGACCAAGAUUAGAUCUUGAUACACACAAAUAACGUGAUAUGGAGGAGUUAGUGUAUUUACUCCUUCUACCAAGAUUAGAUCUUGAUACUCAUAUGUAAAGGUUGUGUACUCGUUGGAUGGUGUGAAGGCACCCGGGGAAGUGAAACUCUCCCCCCAAAAAAAUUAGGCAAUGCAUCCCGCGCUUUCGACCAUCUUGUCCCUCCCGUGAGGGGCACCGGGGGCAAAAGCCCUAGUCGAAGCCUCAAAACUCUUCUUCUCCCCCACCGGCCACCAAAGAUACUUGUCAUUGUGGUGACGGGACUCCAUCCCGCUUGUCAGUUGCCAACGGUGUGGAGGAUGAUGAUGGGCAUCCAAGAUCCAUUAUGUUCUCUCCCUGAAAUUUAGACGACAACCAAUGAGAUGCUAUUAUGUGGGUAGUGGUGCUUGAUUCUGGUUGGGAGAUCAGUUGAUGGCAACAUAUGCAGGCUUUGCGGUCGUUGAUCGAGCAUGGUAGGCUAGCUUCACGGUGUACCAGAGGGCCCAACAUCAGCCUGAUAGUCCAUCCUGACUAUGAUGCCACUGCGAAGAACCGCUAACGCAACCAAGAGGGAGAGGUGGGGUUCACUUACCCCAAGGGUUCGUGGUUGGAUGCACGCAUGCUGGCAGGUCCAAGUCACAUGAAAGCGGAAGUAGAGGAUGACCACAUCAUCGAAGAAUGCCACAAGCACGCACCGACACAAAAUGAGGUUGCUAGUGGUGAGCUGCAUUUGAUCGAAUGGCUAGGGUUUGUGCAGGGCCACGAGAGAAGGGGUCGCCGUUUGAAAUUCUCUGCUGGGAUAGAUGACAUUUGUCCCAUUCAAUAUUGAAAUCGUAGGCCCACUAUGAUGAUGAAGAGAAGAGCAGACAAAUAUGUGACAAAAGAAGUAGGCGGAGUUGCCCAUGAAACAAGCACGAGUCAGAUGUCGUAAAACGAGAAUCGUACUCCCUUCGUCCCAUAUUAAGUGACUCAAAUUUGGCUAAAUAUGGAUGUAUCUAUACCUAAAAAACGUCUAGAUACAUGUAAUAGAAAGUCGCUUAAUAUGAGACGGAGGAGUAUCAAACAAGCGAAGGAAAUGUGCACGUGUAUGAACUUUCAAACAGGUUUCGGCGGCCGGCAACACGAAUUUUCUGAAUACCCAACGGUUUCCGUAGAAUGUUUUGCUAAAUCUUUUCGAAUGUUUUGCUAAUUAAAUUUUCUGAACACGAAUGUUUGCACGUGCCACGUGCUGCCGUGCAUCACGCACGUAAAAUGGGGCCCACACUUUUUUUUAAGGAAAGAAAAUCCAUUAACACAGCGGUAGCACAGGUAUACAAAAUGGGGGCCCACACUAUUGUGGAUAGGGCGUGGUAUAUAUACGUACAACGGGGACGAGCGUAUAGCGCGGCGACAUACGUGCGUACGUAUCUGGGUGACCGUGUCCUGCUGUACUCCUAUGCUAACUGCUGUAUACGUACGCCUCUCACGACCGAUGGCCCCAAGGCCCCCAACAUGAUACUCUCCCAGCCGUCCACGUGUCCCCCCUAGCUCUCUCGCAAAAACAAACAAAAGCCCUUAUCGUCCCAGCGAAUCGAAGGCGCAGCGUAACGAAAAAAAGAAACCGCCCUUAUUUUAUUUCCUCUCGGCAAAAUAAAAGGAACUGCCCUUAUAAUUUCCUCCCUGCAGGAUAAAAGGAACAGCCCUUAUCUCAUCUCACCCUACCCCGGAUAAAGGCAAAGAUAUAUCAGUCCGUUUUGGAUAGUAGUUACAGUACGGACUGCGUAAUUUUUUUUGAGGAAUGAUCAGUAAUAGUAGUUAUUUAGUUUAACCACGCAACGUAAUCUGUAAAUUAACUCCUUUCCCUUCUUCCUCCGCCCCCGCGAGAGAGAGAGAAAGAAAGAAAGAAAAGCGAGACGACCCCCCGGGAGGAGAGAUUCUCCCCGAACUGCCCCUGCGGCGCGGGUAUAUAUACGCGAGCCCGCCGCCCCUCCCAAACCCGCCACAGAGAACUCAAACACACAAACAUCGGCCAAUCAAGUCCUCAACGGUACUCCAGAGCUCGCCGCAGGCGCAGCCAGAUCCUCUUCCUAAUCCUCGCCGGCGAAGGGCAAAGAGGGCAAGAUGGUGGGGCUUAUCCCGCAGACCAAUGCGGCGGCGGAGGUGCUCGGCGACGCCUGGGACUACCGCGGCCGCCCCGCCGCCCGCGUCUCCACCGGCCGCUGGGGCGCCGCCGCCAUGAUCCUAGGUAUUUAUUCACACGGAACCCCCUCCCUCACAAUCUGUUUCUAGUUCGAGGAGGGGAUUUGAAUCGAGGGAGUCGUUGAUUGAUUGGUUGAGAUGGGAUUUAAUUGAUUAAUUUGGGGGGUGAAUGUGUGAAUUUUGUUCGGUCGUUGCAGUGGCGGAGCUGAACGAGAGGCUGACGACGCUGGGGAUCGCGGUGAACCUGGUGACGUACCUGACGGCGACGAUGCACGUCGGCAACGCGGAGGCGGCCAACGUCGUCACAAACUUCAUGGGCACGUCCUUCAUGCUCUGCCUCCUCGGCGGCUUCGUCGCCGACUCCUUCCUCGGACGCUUCCUCACCAUCGCCAUCUUCACCGCCAUCCAGGCAUCCGUGAGUACAUACAACUGCUCCCUCUUUUACUCUACUCUCGUGUUGCCAGCUCCUGGCCGGCCGGCCGUGAAAGCUGCAGACUCGUGCUUAAGAUUUUAAAAGAUUCGUUUUAAUUUAUUGUUGUUGUUGAUUGAUUCUGUCUCUUGAGCUAGAGCAUA
rnacentral:lncRNA from 1 species